rnacentral:lncRNA from 1 species
CCUGGAAGCCUUCUAGGAAGGAAUGCCUCAUCCUCCUAGUUCCAUCUCAGAACAUCAGUUCUGAUUCCACCCGGCUUCACUACUCCCUCAUUGGUCAGUGGCCUACUUUCCUUACCAUCCUUUUGCGACCAUGACUUUCUCUCCAAUUUAGGCCUAGUUCCCACUUGGGGGCCUCAUAUACCACCCUGACGGGGGGAUGCAAGCUAACCAGGAGAAUGCACGCACAGAAGAUUCUGGUUUCUUGAUUUGCACAGAAAGAAUCCUCUGCCAUCCUGUGUACAUGAUUUUGAGAGACUUCAGCAUUCACCAGUUGAGAAGUCAGCAGCUGUUUAACUUGAGCACAAAGUAGGUGGGAAGAUCGGGUG